GCGCCCAUAGCUCAGCUGGAUAGAGCAAGUCACUUCUAAUGACUAGGUCGUAGGUCCGAGUCCUACUGGGCGUACCA
rnacentral:tRNA from 1 species